rnacentral:rRNA from 1 species
UUUGAUCCUGGNUCAGAACGAACGCUGGCGGCAUGCCUNNCACANCCCAAGUCGAACGAAUGCCUUCGGGNGUUAGUGGNGCACGGGUGCGUAANGNGUGGGAAUCUGCCNUUGGGUUCGGAAUAACANNNGGNCCCGAAUGCUAAUACCGNANGAUAUCGNAAGAUCAAAGAUUUAUCGCCCAGGGAUGAGCCCGCGUAGGAUUAGUUAGUUGGUGAGGUAAAGGCUCACCAAGGCGACGAUCCUUAGCUGGUCUGAGAGGAUGAUCAGCCACACUGGGANUGAGACACGGCCCAGACUCCUACGGGAGGCAGCAGUAGGGAAUAUUGGACAAUGGGCGCAAGCCUGAUCCAGCAAUGCCGCGUGAGUGAUGAAGGCCUUAGGGUUGUAAAGCUCUUUUACCCGAGAUGAUAAUGACAGUAUCGGGAG